AAUGGCGCUAUAGCUGUGCAUAAAUCUAUAUAACCCCUGCCCCCAGAUGUCACACUGUACGUACCUGUACCUGUACCCCACCUUACGAGCUCUGGUACAAGCCACUACACAGGUCUCCUACCACCAGUUACCCCACCCCUAACUCUACGAUCCAAACAGCCCGCCUCCGCAAGCUUAACCAAUCACGCACCCAGUUCAAUCCAGAAUCAUUGAAGCAUCCAAUCCGCUAGGGCGAUACUUGAGUCGGCCCGCCCGCUCACCAGGUGUCUUCUGGGAAUUGUAGUUUAUUCUAUCGCUAUCCACAUGUGUUUAAACUACAAUUCCCUCAGGUUUAGAUUCCAAAACGAAUACCCGAUAUGCAAAGGAGAAUUAUGACAACAUGUCUUUAUCUUCAUAACAGUAUAUGUAUUAUAAUUUCAUUAAUACAUUAUAAUUAUCAUUGCUAAUGAAAGAUUUUGAUUUAACUUUUCCUCUACAUAGGAAAUAGGCGUGUGAACAUUUGUGACACUUAAUUCCAUUUUUAUCCCAACUCCACCCCCAUUCGCAGCCAUUCUAUAGAUUAUACUCCAGUUCUGGAAUUGUAAAAACUUUUUACACACGGAUGAAACAACCGUUUGCAAAACCAGGUGAAGAUCUCCUUUAUCUAAAGGAAUGUUCAUGUAGCGCCAUCUAUCGGCUAUUUUUCACAUUACAGGCUGUUAUUAAUCCACAUAGCUUUAACUAGCGCGGAGGGAUACCUGGAGAUUAUACAACCAGCCUCUUUAAUCCUUUAGGGCCCCAAUUUCACAUUACAAAGUUGCAUCAGGACUUUAUGGACCUAGGAAUGAUACGGACUGGAGCCUGGAAUUUACUGUAAGUACUGGAUGUGCUGAAGGAGCUGCUGGGCUUCAGGAAGGGGACUGGGUACUAGGAAGCCCCAGGGGGGGCAAUUGCAACAGGAAGUUGCCUGAGAGGGGGCACAUCAUUGGGCCUUUCAAAACGAGGCUGCAGAGACCCUAGUGGCACAGACUGGGGGCUUUCUGGUAGGAGGUGUCUGUUGAAAUUAGAAAUUAAUUCUAACUUAGGGAAUUGCUACAAGGUGACUCUGGGACUUGGGGUGUCAUAGUCAGUCUCAGGGAAUCCCUAAGUGUUAGACUGUAUUUGCUUCCUCCGGUGUUGGUAACAUCAGGCACUGGUUACUGAGGGAACAGGAGAGACGGGGAGUAAAUCCGUGGCUGUAGUGAAGGAUCACAGAGAAAACUCGAUGAGGGACGUUACUUCAUGACAGAGAAAGGAGCCUCUGGCUUUAUCCAAGCAAGAUCUGGGAUGCUUAUCCGCACUAUACCGCUUGUCUAGUUCUAUACCCACCUGAGGAUUAACACUUGUUUGGAAUGGCCGCCUACAUCGAAUUUGUGCCCCCUCCGGAAUGCCCGGUGUUCGAGCCCAGCUGGGAGGAAUUCUCUGAUCCCCUGAGUUUCAUCGGACGCAUCCGACCGAUUGCUGAAAAGACAGGGAUAUGCAAAUCCAACCUCCCAAGGACUGGCAGCCGCCCUUUGCCUGCGAUGUCAAAAGCUUCUGCUUCACCCCUCGGGUACAGCGCCUCAACGAACUAGAGGCAAUGACCCGUGUCAAACUCGAUUUCUUGGAUCAGCUGGGAAAAUUUUGGGAGCUGCAAGGUUCCGCGCUCAGAAUUCCAGUGGUGGAUGGCAAGCUGUUGGGUGGUUUCCAGUGAGGGGGGCUUUGAGGUUGUCACUAAAGAGAAGAAAUGGUCUCAGGUGGGCAAUCGGAUGGGAUACCAGCCAGGCAAAGGCACAGGCUCUCUUCUGAAGUUGCACUAUGACCGAAUCCUCUACCCCUACGAGCUGUUCCAGUCUGGCGUCAGCCUGAUGGUAAGAAAUGCACCUAGAAUAUUCUAGAGAGAAACCUUCUGUUUCAGUUUUUAGUAAAGGUACCGGUAUAGGACCUGUUAUCCAGAAUGCUCGGGACCUGGGGCUUUUCAGAUAAGGGUUCUUUCCGUAAUUUGGAUCAU